CCUACGGGUGGCAGCAGUGAGGAAUAUUGGUCAAUGGGCGGGAGCCUGAACCAGCCAAGCCGCGUGAGGGAAGAAGGUACAGCGUAUCGUAAACCUCUUUUGUCAGGGAACAAAGGCGGGGACUAGUCCCCGGAUGCGGGUACCUGAAGAAAAAGCAUCGGCUAACUCCGUGCCAGCAGCCGCGGUAAUACGGAGGAUGCGAGCGUUAUCCGGAUUUAUUGGGUUUAAAGGGUGGGCAGGCGGCCUGUUAAGUUAGCGGUAAAAGGCCGGGGCUCAACCCCGGCGAGCCGUUGAAACUGGCGGGCUGGAGUUGGAGAGAAGUACGCGGAAUGCGCGGGGUAGCGGUGAAAUGCUUAGAUAUCGCGCAGAACCCCAAUGGCGAAGGCAGCGUACCGGCUCCACACUGACGCUGAGGCACGAAAGCGUGGGUAUCGAACAGGAUUAGAUAUCCCAGUAGUC
rnacentral:rRNA from 1 species